UUAGUGAAAUCGAGUAGGACGGGACACGUGAUAUCCUGUUUGAACAUGGGGGGACCAUCCUCCAAGGCUAAAUACUCCUGACUGACCGAUAGUGAACCAGUACCGUGAGGGAAAGGCGAAAAGAACCCCUGUGAGGGGAGUGAAAUAGAACCUGAAACCGUGUACGUACAAGCAGUAGGAGCCCACUUGUUGGGUGACUGCGUACCUUUUGUAUAAUGGGUCAGCGACUUAAUUUUAGUAGCAAGGUUAACCGUUUAGGGGAGCCGUAGGGAAACCGAGUCUUAACUGGGCGUCAUAGUUGCUAGGAUUAGACCCGAAACCGAGUGAUCUAGCCAUGGGCAGGUUGAAGGUGAGGUAACACUUACUGGAGGACCGAACCGACUAAUGUUGAAAAAUUAGCGGAUGACUUGUGGCUAGGGGUGAAAGGCCAAUCAAACUCGGAGAUAGCUGGUUCUCCCCGAAAGCUAUUUAGGUAGCGCCUCGGACGAAUACUACUGGGGGUAGAGCACUGUUAAGGCUAGGGGGUCAUCCCGACUUACCAACCCUUUGCAAACUCCGAAUACCAGUAAGUAAUAUCCGGGAGACACACGGCGGGUGCUAACGUCCGUCGUGAAGAGGGAAACAACCCAGACCGCCAGCUAAGGUCCCAAAGUUAUAGCUAAGUGGGAAACGAUGUGGGAAGGCUCAGACAGCCAGGAUGUUGGCUUAGAAGCAGCCAUCAUUUAAAGAAAGCGUAAUAGCUCACUGGUCGAGUCGGCCUGCGCGGAAGAUUUAACGGGGCUAAGCUAUACACCGAAGCUGCGGCAAUGUGAAUUUAUUCACAUUGGGUAGGGGAGCGUUCUGUAAGCCGUUGAAGGUGCAUUGUAAAGUGUGCUGGAGGUAUCAGAAGUGCGAAUGCUGACAUGAGUAACGAUAAAGGGAGUGAAAAACUCCCUCGCCGGAAGAUCAAGGGUUCCUGUCCAACGUUAAUCGGGGCAGGGUAAGUCGACCCCUAAGGCGAGGCCGAAAGGCGUAGUCGAUGGGAAACGGGUUAAUAUUCCCGUACUUCUUAUAAUUGCGAUGGAGGGACGGAGAAGGCUAGGUGAGCCUGGCGACGGUUGUCCAGGUCCAAGUAUGUAGGCUGAUGAAUUAGGCAAAUCCGGUUCAUCUUAAGGCUGAGAUACGAUGUCGAGCUACUACGGUAGUGAAGUCAUUGAUGCCAUGCUUCCGGGAAAAGCUUCUAAGCUUCAGAUUAUAAGAAAUCGUACCCCAAACCGACACAGGUGAUCAGGUAGAGAAUACCAAGGCGCUUGAGAGAACUCGGGUGAAGGAACUAGGCAAAAUGGUACCGUAACUUCGGGAGAAGGUACGCUCCUAGCGGUGAUGAGACUUGCUCUCUAAGCUGCCGGGAGUCGCAGAUACCAGGUGGCUGCAACUGUUUAUUAAAAACACAGCACUGUGCAAAAUCGAAAGAUGACGUAUACGGUGUGACGCCUGCCCGGUGCCGGAAGGUUAAUUGAUGGGGUUAGACUUCGGUCGAAGCUCUUGAUCGAAGCCCCGGUAAACGGCGGCCGUAACUAUAACGGUCCUAAGGUAGCGAAAUUCCUUGUCGGGUAAGUUCCGACCUGCACGAAUGGCGUAAUGAUGGCCACGCUGUCUCCACCCGAGACUCAGUGAAAUUGAAAUCGCAGUGAAGAUGCUGUGUACCCGCGGCUAGACGGAAAGACCCCGUGAACCUUUACUAUAGCUUGGCACUGAACAUUGACCCUACAUGUGUAGGAUAGGUGGGAGACGUUGAAGCAACCGCGCCAGUGGUUGUGGAGUCAAUCUUGAAAUACCACCCUUGUAUGCUUGAUGUUCUAACGUUGG
rnacentral:rRNA from 1 species